AUGUCAGCCUUCUCCAUAAUGGGCGAGAGAAUUGUUAAGUUGAACGAGGUUGCCCAACAGGGAAAUAUUGAAGCCUUUUACGGUAUAAUUCAGGAGGAUGUAAAACUUUUGGAGAACAUCGAUGAGCUACCAUUUGUUGAUACUCCUUUACACGUAGCUGCAUCUGCUGUGGGCCCACAACACGUCCAAUUUGCUAUGGAGAUGAUGAGAUUAAAGCCCUCAUUUGCCAGGAAGCCAGAUCUAAAUGGGUAUAGCCCCAUUCACCUUGCUCUACAAGAAGGGCAUACCCAGAUGGUGCGUUGGCUUCUACAGGUAGAUGGAGACCUUGUCCGUGUAAAAGGAAAUGAGGGUAGAACUCCUUUGCAUGAUGUUGCUGCAGCAGCAGCAACUGAGCAGCAGCUUGAUCUAUUGUUCAAAUUUCUAUCAGACUGUCUCAAUUCUAUUGAAGAUGUGACAAUUCAAAACCAACCCGCUCUGCAUAUUGCCCUGGAAAAAAACAAAUUGGAUGCUUUUAAACGCAUGGUAAGAUGGCUCCGAAAAAAUAAGUCUGAAAAUGCCAGGGAGAUACUGAACUGGCAGGAUGAGAAAGGCAACACUGUGUUGCAAGUGGCAAAAUCCAAAAAACAAACCGAGGCAAGUUCUCCCCUUUCCUCAAUUAUUUACAUACUAAAGGAACACAUUUGUGUUGUGAAUGUCUAUCGUGCAAGUAAUACAUCAUGAUCAUUCUUUUUUUUUUUUUUUUUUUUAACACUUUAACGAAGAAAAAAAAUCCUAAUGCGUUUGUAUCACUACAAUAUGCAGGCCGUGAGGGAGUUACGAAAUUGUUGUGUUAUUUUUGAGAGAUUACGACUACUCAUAAAAACUGCUCGUGAAGGGGCGAGAAUAUCAAGCGACGACCGCAAUGCGCUUUUGGUGGUUGCUGCACUGCUUUUAACAGUCACCUAUCAAGCAGCACUCAGCCCUCCUGGGGGACUUUGGCAAGAAGACAAGAUUUCUGAGGGGCACUCCGCAGGGACAGCCAUUGCCAGAACAGAUUAUGUCAAUUUUCCGAUCGUCGUAACGUUAAAUUUUAUCACAUUUACGCUCUCAGCCAUACUGACUUUUCUACUCCUUCCAAGCGGGUACAUUAGUGCGCUGUUUAAGAUGGCUCUAGUCCAAUUGUGGGUGUCCUACUAUUAUUCAUUAUCAAUCAUAUGCAAAUCUGGGGUUUUAGUUUACAGUCUUAUUAGUACCGGGGUUUGUUUUGUUUUGGUCCUCUUUGCUUUCUUUGGCAGACAAUUCUGUGGCGCCAGAAUAAAAUGCCUGCAUUAUCACUGGAUUUUCUAUGUGGUUUAUGCGUGUAUAAUGCUUUUAAUGCCUUGGUCUAGUGGCGGCUCUAGAAAUUUUGUUUAAGAAAGUCAUUAAGAAACAUAAAUUUUAAAGAUAUUUAUAAAAAAAUAUCUUGAAAAUAUUGAGUUACAAAAAAAAAAAAAAUUACAAUUUCCUUUUACAAUAAUUAAUACAUGAUAGUUUAUUAUGAUUAUUUAUUGCCAAUGUGAGUAGUAAUAAACAUUUUAUUUUGUUAAGUUUGUCUAAUGUUUUAAUUUUAAUGCAGUUGUUAUUAUCCAUGUGUCAUUAUUUUUAUAAAAAAUAAUUUUAAACUAAAUGAUUAAACUCAACUCAUUGUCUCUGUAUUAAUUAUUGAAGUACAAAACCACACUUAUUUAUAUAUAAAAUAAUACACUACGUGUUUACUUAACCAAUCAAGCCAAAAACCUUGUAACUAAAUUGGCACCUCCUAAUGUACAAAGUGUCUAAGGGUCUAGGGAGAAAAUGGUUUGAGUUGUGAGGUUAAUAGCAUGUUGUAAUUAUUUUUCAAAAAAAAAAAAAAAAAACCAAUCAAAUUCUUGAACAAUAACUAACAUACAAUUUUUUUCCUUGAAUUUUACUAACGUUUUAACAAAAAGUUAUUAUAAAUUGAGUUUUCAGUGUCACUAUGUUUUUAGUUUCCUUUACAAAUUGAAUUUUGAUAAUAGUUUUUGUUUUUUGUCAAUUUUGAGUUGCCAUACAAGUUUUUUUUGUCUCAAAAAUAAAAAAUUGUUUUUGAUAACAAAAAAUAAAGGGAAAAAGCAAUUACCAAACCUAUCCUUAGGGAUGAGAAGAGCAAAUUUUGUAAUCUCUACUUGACGUAGGUAACAUUUUCUUACCUUGUUAUAUUUUGUUUAAAAUAACAUUUUUUAUCUAUUAAAUUUUCCUUGGUCUUUCCUUGCAAAUCUUAUUUAAUUGUUUGAGCUACAUUGAUAUAAAGAAAAUAACUGGAUUUUCUCCCUAAUUGAAGUUUUUUAAUUUUAUUUGUUUUAAUUGUUAUUUAGAAAGUUCUAUUCCCUUCAACAUUGGAUCAAGCAAGUGUCAAUUAUGUACAAUUUGACUAUACUUUGUAUUCAGUAAAUGAGGGUUAUACAUUAGCACAUAAAUCAGUUUCUUUUGGUGCAUAUCAUAGGCUUGGAUGAUCUAUGAUUCUGGGCCUAGUAAUUGGGACUUAGCGUGACCAUAGUUAUAUAAAAAUUGUUAAAGAAUACAAAAUCUGAUUGAAUAUGUGAAACAUUUCAAGUCCAAAGAAAAUUUUUAAGGUUUUGAAUUCCUUUUAAUUAAUAGUUUUGAUGUCUUUUUUUUUUUUUUUUGAAAUUUAGUUUUGAUGUCUUUUGAACGCAUUGCAAAUAAAAUUGAUCUUUUAAACCCAUUACAAAUUAUAAGUAAGUUAUUGCAAAUAUAAUUGAUGUUUUAAACCCAUUACAAAUUAAAAGUAAAUUUUAUCAUUUAAACUGAAUUGUAGUUUCUAAGUUUAUUGAAGUCUUAUCUAAAAGUGCAUUUAUUUUAAUCAUAAAUAUACUUGAUCCAACUACUAAGGAUUUGGUUAUUUACUGAGUUGUCACUUACUACCCCUUUUCUCCCUCUUUCAUAUUCAAAUUCUGAGGAAUAACAAUUUUUGGGUUCCUGCUGGGGGGGGUGGGGUUGGGUGUGGCAUGAGCGCUGUUUAGGAAUAUUUGGAUUUUGGAAUAAGAUUUAUAAGUGCAUAACUAUUCUCACACAUGUAACCCAUUCGUUGGGUUGGUGGCAUGGCAACUACUCCUUUUAUUUUUGAAAGAAAAAGGAUCCAUAUUCUUUUGAAACUGGGUGCAAAUGUUUUUUUUUUUCUUUUUUCUUUUUUAGCUGAAGCUAGGUAUCUAGUGAAAUGUUUGGAAAAUAUUGAAACUAAAAAAUCCAUACAUAUAUUUUACUGAAGUGAGCAAUGAUUAGAAAUAAAUUGUAGAGUGAGAAGCUAGUAAAGGCAGGCGGUGCUGACUGUAAAGAUAGAAUGAAUUAAAGAAAAUAAAGAAUAUAGUUAGAAGAAAAUUAUGACCUAUGAGGAUUUUAAUUUUUUUUACAAAAUCCUUGUCAGACCCUCAUAUCUAUGUGGAUACUCGUUGUGGAAAUAAGUAAGCUUUGUGAUGACUCGACGACCUUGACUUGCUUCUCUCUAACAUCAAAUUUCUUCCCUCAAAUAAAAAACCAAGGCUGGUGGCUCCUUCUUUGAUUAUGACUUAAACCUUGACUUACUAGUUUAAUGUAUCCUCAAAAAUAUUUUUGCACACCAUGCGAAAAUCUUGCACACCCUGAUUACCCUCAAAAUUCAAUACCCUUUAUUUCUCAAAAAAAAAAAAAAAAAAAAAAAUCAAUACCCUUCCUUCGUUCAAGUAUAAAUCCUCAAAAUUCAAUACCCUUUAUUUCUUAAAAAAAAAAAAAAAAAAAAAAAUCAAUACCCUUCCUUCGUUCAAGUAUAAAUUAAUGUUGAUAGUUUUGAAAACUAUGUAAUCUUUUUUUUUAAAAGAAUAAUUGAUGCUCCCUUAUAAAGCUAGAUUUUCUAAAUGGGACCAACAAAAUAAAACAAAGGAACUAUUACUCUAAAGUUAGCUUGUCGUGGAGCACAAUAUAAAUAAAAAAGAAUAAAAUUUCAAAGAUAACCAAAAUUAUCUAUAAUAAGAAUCUAAAACAUAGUGAAUGCUAUGUCAAGAGUAUUGUAGUUCAACUAAUUUUUUUGAUAUUUUCAACUAAAAGUCCAAAAUUCAGAUGUCCGUUACCUUUAUCUAUCACAUUACUAUGAAGGAAAAAAAAAAAAAAAGUACUAAAAGUUCUAAUAAUGUUACUUUCUGAAGACGUCCCCAUUGUCCCAAUCAAAUAGGAUUAGGCGGUACCAUCAAUUCUCCUCUCCCAAAAACUAAAAAUUAAAAAAUAAUAAUAACAACUUUUUAAAUAGAGAAAAAGUAAAGAGCACUAUCAGCUUUGUUGUACGAGGCGCUAUUUAUUUAAGCUACGCAUCAUCAAGUUCAUACCAAGAAAAAGCCUAAAAUUAAUAACCUUCUCUAGAAUGGAUGAGAAAAUUCAGAGUUUGAACGGGGUUGCUCAACAAGAAGUGUAACACUCCGAUCUAACUUUAUAGUUAACCUAUGUGUUCAAGUGGUUAAUUAUUAUUUUAAUCACUUACUUUCUAAAAUUAAUAUAAAAGUAUUUAAUAAACAUAUUAUUUUAUAAUGCCAUUAAAUAAGAAUUGUAAAGAUUUUAAAUAAUUGAAUGGCCAGAUGUAUUAUGAAUAUAUAUAUAUAUAUACAUACUAAGUUUGUACAAAACUAUAUUAAGUGGCUUAAGUUAUUAGAUGCAUAGUUGGUGGUGUUUUAAUUAAGCAUAAUACAUGAGAUGUUAUAGUAGAAUUCCACCCAAAUAUGCAACCAAUAGAAAUUCGACACACAUAAUGCCAAAGUACCAUGCAUGUUGACAAACCCCAAAGACCAGACUUGGCCGGCCAUGUAAUGAGCAAGCUCCACGUUAUCUCUUCUUUGACUUUUCAAAGUAACUAGAACUUUCAAGAAGCUCUCUCCCUCUCUAUUCCCACGGGUCCAAACAAAUCAAAAAUUUCACCUCACUUUACUCUCUUUUCUCUUAAGGAAAGAGCUAGAAGCUCUCUUGAGUCUUUUCUCUCAAAACCACAGGUCAACACCUCAAAAGGAAAGUAAAGCUCCAUAUAAUUUCUUCUUCAUACUCUCUCAAAGAAACUAGGAAACUCAAAGACUCUCUUAAGCUCUCUACCUCUCACAUUUUCAGGUCCAGCCACUAGAAAAGGGAGAUCCUUUCAUGCAAGAAUGAUUCUAUUCCUAUUUUUCCCCUCAAGAACUAGAAACUUGGUAAGGGUUCUAGCUACUCUCAUCUUAGAAUACAUGAUUUCUUCAUGGAAUUUUAGUAAUGGUAUUUGUGGUUUGUGAAAUUAGGAAAUCAUGAACGUGUAAGUUUAUAUAUAUAUAUAUAUGCUGUUUUAAGAAGCUUUGAAACGGUUUUGGUGAUUUGUUGAAGGUAGAUUAGGGUUUUUACUAAUUAAUGAUUGUAUAUGAUUAAGGAAGUAAGAAAAAGUUAGGAUGAGUACUUUUGAUGUUACUGCUGGGAUUUUUGUUGUAAGUAAUUUUGCUAUAAAUGGUUAAAUUACUGUAUAUGAGGGUUUUCUAACAUGUCUAGUGAUUGUAUAAAAAUCCCCAUAUGAAAAUACCAUCAUUUGAUAAUUGUUUGUGAAUUUACAAAAAAAUGUUGCAAAGCUGUCACUGUGACAGAUUCUAUGUUUAUGCAUGAUAAAUUAUAUAUUAAAUUGUAUAUAGUGUGUUUGGAUGCUAGGGAUAUUUUUUAUGAAAUCUAAGACGCAUAUGGUUGUAAUGAAAGUGGUCUCACAGCAUUUAGAUUAAUAUAAAAAUAAUGGUUUAAUUUCUAAGUUGCAUGAAAUUCUGCCAGGACAGAUUUGAGUAUGCAGUAUUGUAUGAUUUUUAGUAAAUUAUGAUUUUAUGCUUUGACUCUGAAAUUGAUAUGGUAUUUACUAGAUAUCUAGAGGAGUUGCUUUGUAAAAUUGGAUGUGAAUUGAUAGCCAUUUUGUGUUUCAUAAGUGAAGUAUAUGCUGCUGGUAUAAAACAGUGAACAGUAAGGAACAUGCCUAACUUUGAGGAUUUAAUUCUAAAGUUAGGCUGAAUGAUUUGAGCUAUAAUUUAUUAUCCUCAUCAUUUGGUAUGUCUGGAUCAUAGCUAAAUUUUGUGUACCAUGGUUCAAGGUUUAGUACUCAAAGGAGGGGUUCUAAACCAUUCUACUACGUUUUCAUGUUGCCAUAUGAGUGUAUAUGAUUAUAUGACCAUGCUUAAAAGAGUUUAUGUUUAUGUAUGCAUUAUUGCCUUAAUCUCAAGCACAUUUUGAAAUGAAGUUGGCACCUCUGGAGAUAUGAUAUAAAUAUGAGAAUGAUGGUUUUUUUUUUUUUUUUUUUUUAGUUUGGUACAUCAUUUGUUGAUGUGUGCAUAAUAUGUUUGUGGGAACCUCGUUGAGGUUGGAUUAGGAUUUCCUUGAUUAUAAGAGAUAGGCUUUGAGAUAAAUGUGUAAGUUUAUGAUAAGGAAUAAUUGAUAAUAAUAAGCUUUGAUAUUUGGUUUAGGUGUUACCAGUUCCCAAGUCUAAGCUCCUUCAACUUUAGGCUCUCGAUUCUUCUACAUUCAGGUAAGGGAUAAAUUAUAUGAGCAUUUGGUAAGUCAUGAGGUUAUUUUAAAGUGUAUUUGCAUUAAAAUGUUUUUGAUUAGAGAUAUGGCAUGUAAGCAUGUUUCAGACAAAGAUAUAUUCGUGAGUUUUCGAAACCUUAUGUAUAUGAUUUAAGCAUAUUGAUGCCAUUACUAAUUCCAGAAACAUGAUGUUUAAAGAAAAUAAUGGAAAUGCUAUUAUUGUGAAAUGUUAUGCAAACUAUGAAUUUCAAUACGAUGUAUAAGUAUGAAAUAUUUUUGGGUUAUGUUCUAUAGUGAUCUAAACUCGGCCAGUAGGGAUUAAUUACUGGUUUUCCAUGGAAAAUGUUAUUUUUUUUUCCAUUUAAAGUAGGGGAAAUGGGGCUGCUCGUAACUCUAGACUAUUUAAAGUAGACGAAAUGAGGCUGCCCGUAACUCUAAUAUGAAUAAGGCCUUCUCCCCAAUGUGUAUGGACGGCGAGGAGGAACAAAACCUUGAAGGAAUAUGCCAUUAGGCCUCCCAAAGAGGACAAUAUCAUGCACACAAGGGCACCCAAAUGUGAUGAGACCUUCUCUAUACAGACUUAUUAGAUAUGGACUAACCAAUAUAUUAUGAAUAGUUAUAUAAUGUUAUUGAUCAUGAGAGAAUGAUUUUAUUUAAAUGCAUUAUGAAAAGUUAAAAGUUUUCAUGAAAAGAAGUUUCUGAUGAAAAGAAAAGCUACUCUUUAAAGAUAAGAGUUUCUGAAGUUUUGUUGUGCUUUAAAGAUAAAGAAUCUGAUGAAAGGUUUUAGCGUUCUAUAAAGAAAAAGCUUCUGAUAAAAGUACGAGUUAUGUUAAAAGUUAUCAGAUAUCUAUUCUUUAUGGAACGUUAAGUUUUAUGACCAUAAAAGUUAUAAUAUUUUAUGAGAAGAAGUUUAUAAAGAAAAGUUCUCUUAUUCGGCAAGAUGUUUCUAGUUUAAGACAAAAUUACCAAUUAUCUUAUUUAAGUUAAAAUGAUUAUUUUGUAAUGAGAAUACAUACAUAUAUAUAUAUAUAUAUAUUGAUUUUAAACAAUCAAUAUUAUAUCUGGUGACUUUGUAAGACAUGAAAGAAAUUAAAUCCGAAAGGUUUUGGUAAUAUUAUUCUAAUAAGAAAAUGAAGAACAAUUAUUUUUCUAUGAAGAGCAUAUGAGUUAUUAUUAUGAAUAGUAUAAAAUACUAUGCAUGAAAAGAUGUUCUCCUAUCUGAAUAUUCAUAGAAUGAAAUGAUUUGAUUUACAUGCAUCCUUAUUAAAUUCUCAUAUAUCUUACCUUUACUGAGCUGUGUAGCUCACCCCUUCCACUCUUUCAAUCAACAGGUUUUAUUUUGGAGCAGAGAGAGCCUUAG
rnacentral:sRNA from 1 species